rnacentral:lncRNA from 1 species
GGUGUUUAUCUCGUAUCUGUUUUCAUGGAACACUUGCUUGAACCAUGCUAAAGACACACAAUCCUACUGAUGGACAACUAUAGUGUUUGAAAUGAGAGAUGACCUUGAACUCAGAGAUUUAAUCUUCUGGAAUCCAUAGCCACUAUGCCUCAAGAUCUCCAUACCAAGAUCCAGAUCAGAAACUUCUAUCUCCCAGCCCCCAGAUAAGGGUCACUGGUACGCAGAGUCACAUCCAGCUUUUCUGGGAACCCAAACUCAAGACCUCAUGAUGAGCAUCAAAGAAGGCCCAUUCAGCCCAAGCUAUAUAGUAGAAUCCUUUUAAAAGACCAACCAAUAAUAAUAAAUAAUGCUUGCCUUCCACU